AGUGAACGCUGGCGGUAGGCCUAACACAUGCAAGUCGAACGGCAGCACAGUAAGAGCUUGCUCUUACGGGUGGCGAGUGGCGGACGGGUGAGGAAUACAUCGGAAUCUACUUUUUCGUGGGGGAUAACGUAGGGAAACUUACGCUAAUACCGCAUACGACCUACGGGUGAAAGCAGGGGAUCUUCGGACCUUGCGCGAUUGAAUGAGCCGAUGUCGGAUUAGCUAGUUGGCGGGGUAAAGGCCCACCAAGGCGACGAUCCGUAGCUGGUCUGAGAGGAUGAACAGACAAACUGGAAAUGAGAAAAGGUCCAGACUCCUAAGGGAGGGAGCAGUGGGGAAUAUUGGACAAUGGGCGCAAGCCUGAUCCAGACAUACCGCGUGGGUGAAGAAGGCCUUCGGGUUGUAAAGCCCUUUUGUUGGGAAAGAAAAGCAGCAGGUUAAUACCCCGCUGUUCUGACGGUACCCAAAGAAUAAGCACCGGCUAACUUCGUG
rnacentral:rRNA from 1 species